rnacentral:rRNA from 1 species
AAUAGAUACCCCGGUAGUCCACGCCGUAAACGAUGAGUGCUAAGUGUUAGAGGGUUUCCGCCCUUUAGUGCUGCAGCAAACGCAUUAAGCACUCCGCCUGGGGAGUACGGCCGCAAGGCUGAAACUCAAAGGAAUUGACGGGGGACCCGCACAAGCGGUGGAGCAUGUGGUUUAAUUCGAAGCAACGCGAAGAACCUUACCAGGUCUUGACAUCCUCUGACCAUCCUAGAGAUAGGACCUUCCCCUUCGGGGGACAGAGUGACAGGUGGUGCAUGGUUGUCGUCAGCUCGUGUCGUGAGAUGUUGGGUUAAGUCCCGCAACGAGCGCAACCCUGGUCCUUAGUUGCCAGCAUUCAGUUGGGCACUCUAAGGAGACUGCCGGUGACAAACCGGAGGAAGGUGGGGAGUGACGUCAAAUCAUCAUGCCCCUUAUGACCUGGGCUACACACGUGCUACAAUGGAUGGUACAAAGGGCAGCGAAGCCGCGAGGUGAAGCCAAUCCCAUAAAACCAUUCUCAGUUCGGAUUGCAGG